UAAUUUUACUUAAAGAUACAGCUUCAACUGCAGAACUAAUUAUGACAUUAUAGUAUUAGCAACAAGCCUUUUGUUUGAUUGGCAGUUAUUUGGGGUAAGUGCAUGAUUAGGUUGCCAUGUCUUGUUACAGGUUAUUAGGGUACUUAAGAUGGAUCCUGAAAUAAAUCUGCAAGAUCUUCACCCAAAAAAGAGAUGGAGGAGUGAGUUGUAUGCUCAAUUUGUUCUUGCCUGGCAGAACAAUAAUCAGUUACCUGCUGAAGGCACUCCAGAAAAAAAUGUUAAUAGCUUGGAUGACAAUCAUCAGCUGGCUGUUUAUACUCCUGCUGACGCUUCUGCUUCUGAUGGAACUGUUACUCAACCUCCACAGAACCAGGCCGGUCGGAUUGCGCCAUCUGUGGAAGCUUACACUGUCCAGUGUUCACUCUGUUAUAAGUGGAGGCUUAUUCCUUCGAAGGAGAAAUUCGAGGAAAUCCGUGAACACUUAAUAGAGCAGCCUUUUGUAUGCAGAGCACUUUAUCAGUGGCGUCCUCAGAUAUCUUGCACUGUUAAAACUGAUCUUCAACCAGAUGGUAGCAAGUUAUGGGCAAUUGAAACGCCCAACAUUCCUCGACCCCCUCCUAGGUGGAAGCGCAUUUUGAAGAUCAGGGCUUCCCAAGGAACCAGAUUUGCAGAUGUGUACGUAUUACUCUACAUUUUUUUUUUAAAUAUGGUUUAGUCUUAAUAUCUGCUGCUUCGUUUCAGUUUAAAAGUUGAGCUUUUCUUUACUUUCAGGUAUUAUUAUACACCAUCGAACAAGAGACUGCGGUCCACAACUGAAGUUCAAAGGUACUCUUGUCUCUUAGGUUUGUUUUCAGUUGAGCAGAGCGUUCAAAAACUUGCAAAUCUUUAUGUUUGGUUUAAAUGAUAAUAUUGAUGAAGUGGUCCAAAAAUUAUAGAGUAAAGUGACAUAAGGUCCUUCUACCAUAAAACAUGGCCGGCGCACCAACUUGACCUCUUCUCUGUAGUGUUUUCGAUAUUUUUCAAACAUUAUUUAGAUUCUGUUUGUAUUUGGGCAUAUUUUUAAGAAUGUAAAUGUUUGCUCUAUAUUAACCUAUCGUCAUGCAAAUUUCGCAAACUAUUGUUAUGCCAAUGGGCGCUCAGAUAUAGAUGGUUUGCUUCCCUUCAUGUUAUAGUACAAUAUGUUUAAACAGUUGAACAACGUUGUGUUCUUGGCUUGAGUCCAGCACUGACAGUGCCUAUUUGCAAUAUUCCAUAUGGGAUUACCAUUCACAGGUAUUUGCGUGAACAUCCCAAUGAGGCGGAUGGAGUUGACUUGGGCCAAUUUUCUUUUAAAAUCCCACUGUUGGUGAAGGAGAAGUCCUUGGAAGAACAUACCACCCGUGUUUUACAAGACGGUCGCAAACGCCGCAGGAUGCCUUGAAAUGGAGGAAGAAAGGAGUGAUCUGUAUCCAAUCUGGAUAUGAAUAUUGAAAUGGGCUACAUAGAGUUGGUACUUUAGUCGUGUGACAUUUGAGUGAUUGUUGAAGACUUGGCAACUGCUUUUGAUGUAAUGACAUGUAAACUGUUAGUCUCCUUGUGAAUUCAAGAGUAGAGCCAUUUUCAUUUUAUCCAAUCGACUUUCUAGUUAGUAAUUACUAUAAUUUUGUAUAAUAGAAUAUACAGAUAUAAAACCAUUUCUUUACAUAAAAUGCUAUGGGCGUCAUGUGUUUUGUGAGAGGAGUUGUUGGGGCUUGUUUCAUAUUUACCAUGACAUUUCAGCCCAAUUUUAAGAGACUUUAUUGGUGGGUUUGGUUUAACAAAUGAUGAGUAUCAGUAUUGGUUUGCUCCCUUGUGUAUUAGACCAUAUAUAUGGUGCAUUUUGCAUAGGUCAAAAGUCAAGUUUAGCUUUUUUCUCAAAAGGCUGGCUGGCAUGAAGCUUGAUCUUAGUGAAAGUAUGAUCAAGCAGCUUACCCUUCUCGGAAUUGGCCACCAUAAUUGGUUCUACCCAAUUGGAAAACUGUUUGGGAACCCAAGGCAGCUUGUUCAAGAGAAGGGGUUUCCAGAACUCCUCGUGAUUGGUGCUUUUUAGAUCAUUACCUCCUGGAAGUCAGAGUGCGGAUACAUUUCUAGCACUGAAAGACGUGGGACGACAUCAUAUUGCAGGUAUACUACUAAUGCUGGAAAUUGUUAUUGGUUUUUUUUUCUUGCAGUACUAUUAAUACUUGUAGUUUAGCCGUAGUAAGUUAUCUUGUUCUAAAGGAUCAGCACAAGGGAAAAUUUCUGGUCUAACAAACAUAUCAUCACAUCCUAGUUGCAUCAUUAACGCAGCAUCUGUUGGAGUCACAAUGCCUCCAGUAGCAGCAUGCACAACAGGAAACCUUCCCCAUUUGCCUAGUCUGGGCUUACUAUGCAUUAGAAUCUCCAAUUUCCUUGAAAAGUGUGAAAAACUUUAUCUUCAUCCAUAUCGAUAAAAAUUAAAACCUAUGUUACUUGAACUCAUCUCCGUCCUAUUUUUGGACAUGGGCAUCGGGAAUGGUAACGAUGCACUAAUAAACAAGUAGGGUAAAAAUUAUUCAUUAAAAUCAUAUAACCAAAAAACUCACAUCUAACAUGUAUUAUGAGAGACUUUGCGAUUUAGGUGUUUUAAGGUUUUCUCAUCCCAUCUUCUCAUCCUUCUCUUUUGCAUCCUAAUUAGCACUUAGCAGCAAUGUCGAUGCUGUUGUUUUAUGCAGUUAUGGAUUAAAGUGUGAUAAUUUUUGUAAAUACAAGCCUGAUUAUUUCCCUAUUAUAUGUGAAGUUAUUAUAACAAAUGCUUUCAAAUUAAAAACCAUAUAGUUUUCUGGUUAAAAAAUGAUUUACAUUUAUAAAUAUAUCAUCUGAGCCUAGAGAACAGAGGGAAGUUAUUUUUAUUAUAGGUUAAAGUGACUAGUGUUCACCAAAUCUGGUAGAUGAAGAAUGAAAAUAUAGACUUUGCAGACUUGUAAUCUAGUACAAUUGAUGGAAUUGUGAUACUUUCGAUGAAUUUACACUUGUUAAUCAGGAUUAGUCUGUCAUGUGUAUGUCAGUAUGUGGCUGUUUAGGUUUGCUUAUUUGGAAAAGACAAGCACAAUUCUCCCGCAUAAAAAGUACCUAGUUGUGUUGUGUACAUGUGCCUGUUAGGUUUAGCUUAAUUUGAUAAAAUUUGCACUUGUCUUUUAUCAAAUUAAUAUAUUUUUGACUAUUUUUUUUUACUCCAAAUUCAUUUGUUUUGAUAAAUAAAUUUUAUAAUGGAGUAUCAAUCAUCAGGUGUAGAAUAUCUUAUUGGUAUCAUAGUAUGUAAGCAAUUAAAAAGUGCUUCUACUUAUUUACACAAACGGUUCAAGAAAAGCAGAAGCCAGAAGCAACUCCGACUUCUGCUAACCAAACAGGCACAUAGUAAAGUUCUGUUAAGACCACUUUUUAUCGGAGACCUCGGAGAACAUGCAUGUUUUGCAAAUAAAACAUUGCAAAACUUAUAAUUUUGCAAAUCAUAUUCAAUGAAAAUCAUUUUUUAAUUAAAAAUCUUGAAAAAUCAUACUCCUUCAGUUCCACCCAAAUGAUUAUAUUUGGGUGGGGCAUAGAGAUUAAGAAAAUAUGUAAAGUAAGAGUAUGAAAGAAAGAAAAGUGAGGAUAGUGAUGAAACCAUUUGAUAUUUAAUACAUAAAGUAAGGAUAGUGGUGAAAAGUAGUGGGGGUAGUUGAUUUUUAUAUUAUAAAAUUUUACUAUACUUAAUAAAUUUUGAAAUAUAGAAUGGAUGGGACAUCCCAAAAAGGAAAGUGUAAAUAAAUGGUUGAGACGGAGGGAGUAUAUGUAUUGCGAGGAAGACAUUGCAAGACUGGACAUUGCAAAACAUAGGUUGUGCAAAAGAAUGUCUGGCUUGCAAAACGUACAUUAUUUUUUGGAUUUUCAAUGAAAUAGCACUAUUCAAAUAACAUACUUUAUAAAAUAUAAUGUUGUUAAUGUUUUGGUGCAGAACAUGCAUCGUUUCCGAGGAUUCUGAUAAAAAGUGAUUUUGGAGGUCUCCGAUAAAAAGUGGUCUUCAUAGAACUUUACUCUCUAUAUCACAAACCUCCUUAAAAUACAAUAUAAAAACUAAAAAAAAUCUUAAAAUUAUAUUUAAAUAUAGCAAAAAUUGUAUUUAAAUCGUUAGGAGAUGUAGAAUAAUUAUAGUGAAGUCAGAUUGACAUGAAAAUUCAAAUUAAAAAUGGAGGGGAUUAUGUGGGAUCAUGUGUGGGAGGAUGAAUUUUAAUUGUGUGUGGUGACUUCUAGAAGGCUUGUAGUUUGUACAGUAAUUUGGUUAACUACACAACUAAAAACCUUCUUAAAAUAAAAACUAAAAUAAAAAAAAUUCUGAAUCACAUCGAAAUAGCACAUAUGAUAUGCAACUGAAAGUUGGGAGAUGAAUAAAAAUACCAUUAAGUCAGAUUUCUAAAAAACUCACCGUUGACGAGAAAAAUCAAAAUAGAAACGGAUGAGAUUAUGUGGGUUAUGUGUGGGAGAGCGUAUUUUAAUUGUGUGGAGCGUAUUUUAAUUGUGUGGUGACUUCUAGGGGCCAUUAGAUUAGAUUCGUCCAAGGGCUUGGAUUAAAUUUAUUUAAAGGCUUAGAAUAAGUUUGUACAAUAAUUUGGUUUGUAUUUGAGCAAUUGCUUAUAUAUAUAUAUUUGGUUUUUAAUGUUCUUGGUCACCAAGAGGACUGAAAUUCAGAAAGAAAAAAAAAACGAACUGGGCCUGAAUUGUGAAAGCCCUGAACCAGGACCGAAAUUUGGGUUCGCUUCUCGGUGAAUUGGGAAAUUCUAAUAUGGUCAAUUGAUGGAAUGAUUAUUCUUCUGUUUCCGAACAGGAUUUUUUUAUCGAUACAACCCUUCUGUUUCAACAACUCCCCAAGUUGUGAUCCCCCCGCCCCGCCCCUCCCCUCCCCUCCAAAAGGUGAUUUUAGUAAUUACCAAGUAUAAGUUAUUGUCCAGCAGUAUCUCGACCCAAUAUUAGGCAUCUUGCCCGGUGGAAAAGCUACAUCUAGUUCCGAACCAGCGAUUUGGUUGAUAUCCAGUGUUGUUUUUCAAGCGUGGAAGUCACCUAAUUAGAAGUUGUCAAAAUUUUAUAGCGAUCAGAGCUAACCACAAGGUAUUCUUUUCUCUCAGAUUUGCAAUUACAUAUGAAUUUGUUUAAAUUGUAAUGAUCCUCUCAUUUUUAGGAAGUAAGGGUAAAAUUGAAAUUACAUUUUCGAAUUUAGUGGUUUCAACGAGACCCUGCUGUCUACUAGCCAUCAAUUCUUCUGGGCAUAUCCCCUUGUACUCAAAUCUUGUGAGUGAUCCACAUUUUAUACGGGUAUACUUUGUUUAAGAUACAAUUUAACUGCAAAUUUUACUUAUGUAUCAAGUUCGGAGUUCGGUGCAUUUAAUAGUUUUAAUUUAGUGUCUACUAUCUACCUUAUGUGAUUCUGAUAUGUAUGUAUGAUACUUGCACAAAAUUUUCUUCAAAUUUGGUAUUCUAUCUUGAUGAGCUUUUGCCUAUGCAAGUUACAAGUAUCAUUGUUUUACGCAAAUUAAGCUAUUAAUACUUUCUAAUCGAUAGCUUCAGGAUCACAAAUCUCUUAGAUUUUAGUACCUUCAAAAGGAAACUUUUUCUCUGGGGUUAAGCAUCAAUCUCAUGAUUAAUUACGUCCAAAUAUAUGAGAUUGGUCACCAUUUGCAAACAUUACCUAAUAUAAUCCUUAACUUCUUUUAUUUGUACAAGUCGUUUAAGUCGACUGGAAUUAAAAUUUUGAAGGAUUGAACAAAUCUACAAGUUUCAAGCUCGACCUCUCAAAUCCGUAUCUUACAGAUCUAGAGGAAAAAGUCUAUGUUUCUCCACCACAUCUUAUCUCAUUUUCAAGCAGUUCAACACAUGCCUCUGAUUUACAUAUCCAUAUGUUAGGGUUUACAUCUGAUAAGUGCAGUUUAAUUCAGUUAUUUGUGGUUGUAGUUGUUUAGGUUUCUAGUGCCUAUGUUAUUUAUAUAUAUUCUAGAAAUUGUUGUAGGUGUAUUACUUUUUGCAGUUGAAAGGAUGGAGAUGACGAAGUGUGUGUGUGUGUGUGUGUUUUAUUAUUUUUUUCUUUUUGCAAUCGAAGCCAUGUAAUUGCUACGUCAUUAUGUGACUUUUAAAUCACUGCCGUGUCAGUCGCCUGACAUGUUGGUUUGGGCAUUGAAAAUUCAACUGACUCUUGACCGGUUUGUGCAAAUUAAAGAAGUCGGUGACUGGACUGAGUCAUAUUUGUGAAAAGUGAUGAAAUUGGUAGAAUCGUAUGAAAUGAAUACCAGAUAACUCAGGGUAUUAUUAUGGGUAGGGGGUGUGAUUAUUGAUUGCCAUGACCAUUAUUCAUGAGGGAGGAGAUAUGAGUCUUGCCACUAGGCAAUCAACAAAACCUUGAAUAUGCAAUUUUUUUAGUCCAACUAAUUUCAAAAACCCAGUCAUGUUAUAUGCUGAUAUCAUUACUCUCUCAACCUUCAGUGCGGUGAUUGUUGCUUGAAAUUCACUUGGUUUCUUUAAUUGACUUGUACUCUGCUAUGUUAUGUUCUGUAAUAAUUUAUAAUUUUACUUAAAGAUACAGCUUCAACUGCAGAACUAAUUAUGACAUUAUAGUAUUAGCAACAAGCCUUUUGUUUGAUUGGCAGUUAUUUGGGGUAAGUGCAUGAUUAGGUUGCCAUGUCUUGUUACAGGUUAUUAGGGUACUUAAGAUGGAUCCUGAAAUAAAUCUGCAAGAUCUUCACCCAAAAAAGAGAUGGAGGAGUGAGUUGUAUGCUCAAUUUGUUCUUGCCUGGCAGAACAAUAAUCAGUUACCUGCUGAAGGCACUCCAGAAAAAAAUGUUAAUAGCUUGGAUGACAAUCAUCAGCUGGCUGUUUAUACUCCUGCUGACGCUUCUGCUUCUGAUGGAACUGUUACUCAACCUCCACAGAACCAGGCCGGUCGGAUUGCGCCAUCUGUGGAAGCUUACACUGUCCAGUGUUCACUCUGUUAUAAGUGGAGGCUUAUUCCUUCGAAGGAGAAAUUCGAGGAAAUCCGUGAACACUUAAUAGAGCAGCCUUUUGUAUGCAG
rnacentral:lncRNA from 1 species